rnacentral:misc_RNA from 1 species
CCAAUAGCGUAUAUUAAAGUUGUUGCAGUUAAAAAGCUCGUAGUUGAAUUUCAGGCCUGGCUGGACGGUCCGCCCUUCGGGUGAGUACUGUCUGUGGUCGGGUCCUACCUUCUGGCGAAGCGUCAUGGCCUUAACCGGCCGUGGCGGGGAACCAGGACUUUUACUGUGAAAAAAUUAGAGUGUUCAAAGCAGGCAAAUCGCUUGGAUACAUUAGCAUGGAAUAAUGGAAUAGGACAAUGGUUCUAUUUGUUGGUUUCUAGGACCGUUGUAAUGAUUAAUAGGGAUAGUUGGGGGCAUUAGUAUUCAAUUGUCAGAGGUGAAAUUCUUGGAUUUAUUGAAGACUAACUACUGCGAAAGCAUUUGCCAAGGAUGUUUUCAUUAAUCAAGAACGAAAGUUAGGGGAUCGAAGACGAUCAGAUACCGUCGUAGUCUUAACCAUAAACUAUGCCGACUAGGAAUCGGGCGAUGUUGAAAAAAUGACGCGCUCGGCACCUCAU